CCUACGGGAGGCAGCAGUGGGGAAUAUUGGGCAAUGGGCGCAAGCCUGACCCAGCAACGCCGCGUGAAGGAAGAAGGCUCUCGGGUUGUAAACUUCUUUUCUGAGGGACGAAGAAAGUGACGGUACCUCAGGAAUAAGUCACGGCUAACUACGUGCCAGCAGCCGCGGUAAUACGUAGGUGGCAAGCGUUAUCCGGAUUGAUUGGGUGUAAAGGGCGUGUAGGCGGGAAAGCAAGUCAGAUGUGAAAACUCAGGGCUCAACCCUGAGACUGCUUUUGAAACUGUUUUUCUUGAGUGCUGGAGAGGCAGUCGGAAUUCGGGGUGUAGCGGUGAAAUGCGUAGAUAUACGGAGGAACACCAGUGGCGAAGGCAGAUUGCUGGACAGUAACUGACGCUGAGGCGCGAAAGCGUGGGGAGCAAACAGGAUUAGAUACCCUUGUAGUC
rnacentral:rRNA from 1 species